rnacentral:rRNA from 1 species
CGAAGCCAGUGGCCUAACCCGUUAGGGAGCUGUCGAAGGUGGGAUCGGCGAUUGGGACGAAGUCGUAACAAGGUAGCCGUACCGGAAGGUGCGGCUGGAUCACCUCCUUUCU